AUUGAACGCUGGCGGCAGGCCUAACACAUGCAAGCCGAGCGGAUGAAGGGAGCUUGCUCCUGGAUUCAGCGGCGGACGGGUGAGUAAUGCCUAGGAAUCUGCCUGGUAGUGGGGGAUAACGUCCGGAAACGGGCGCUAAUACCGCAUACGUCCUGAGGGAGAAAGUGGGGGAUCUUCGGACCUCACGCUAUCAGAUGAGCCUAGGUCGGAUUAGCUAGUUGGUGGGGUAAAGGCCUACCAAGGCGACGAUCCGUAACUGGUCUGAGAGGAUGAUCAGUCACACUGGAGCUGAGACACGGUCCAGACUCCUACGGGAGGCAGCAGUGGGGAAUAUUGGACAAUGGGCGAAAGCCUGAUCCAGCCAUGCCGCGUGUGUGAAGAAGGUCUUCGGAUUGUAAAGCACUUUAAGUUGGGAGGAAGGGCAGUAAGUUAAUACCUUGCUGUUUUGACGUUACCAACAGAAUAAGCACCGGCUAACUUCGUG
rnacentral:rRNA from 1 species